rnacentral:tRNA from 2 species
AAGGGAGACCUAAUUCGGGUAUGGGACGAAAAAAAAGUAGUCGCUACCAAGAAUCAAUCCCAAAAGGUCGGAGCGAGGCAAGAUUGGCUUUCAAACUAGGUUCUGGGUUCACACAAGACCUGAAUCAGGAACAAGGGCUAUUAGCUCAGGUGGUUAGAGCGCACCCCUGAUAAGGGUGAGGUCCCUGGUUCGAGUCCAGGAUGGCCCACCUGCACAGGUGGAAAAAAGAAAAGAAGCUCCGAAUCAGCACCUUAUCUUACUUAUAUAGUAAGAGAGAAUGCUGGCUCUGAGUUCAGAGUCCAGAGGAACCUUGAAAACUGCAUAGAGCUAGGUGAAAAAGCCAAAAAAGAAGACCGCAA